CCUACGGGGGGCAGCAGUGGGGAAUAUUGGACAAUGGGCGAAAGCCUGAUCCAGCCAUGCCGCGUGUGUGAAGAAGGCCUUCGGGUUGUAAAGCACUUUCAGUGGGGAAGAAAGCCUUGGGGCUAAUACCCUCGAGGAAGGACAUCACCCACAGAAGAAGCACCGGCUAACUCCGUGCCAGCAGCCGCGGUAAUACGGAGGGUGCGAGCGUUAAUCGGAAUUACUGGGCGUAAAGCGCGCGUAGGCGGUCUGAUAAGCCGGUUGUGAAAGCCCCGGACUCAACCUGGGAACGGCAUCCGGAACUGUCAGGCUAGAGUGCAGGAGAGGAAGGUAGAAGUCCCGGUGUAGCGGUGAAAUGCGUAGAGAUCGGGAGGAAUACCAGUGGCGAAGGCGGCCUUCUGGACUGACACUGACGCUGAGGUGCGAAAGCGUGGGUAGCAAACAGGAUUAGAUACCCCAGUAGUC
rnacentral:rRNA from 1 species